CAGGCUUAACACAUGCAAGUCGAGGGGCAGCAUGGUCUUAGCUUGCUAAGGCCGAUGGCGACCGGCGCACGGGUGAGUAACACGUAUCCAACCUGCCGUCUACUCUUGGACAGCCUUCUGAAAGGAAGAUUAAUACAAGAUGGCAUCAUGAGUCCGCAUGUUCACAUGAUUAAAGGUAUUCCGGUAGACGAUGGGGAUGCGUUCCAUUAGAUAGUAGGCGGGGUAACGGCCCACCUAGUCUUCGAUGGAUAGGGGUUCUGAGAGGAAGGUCCCCCACAUUGGAACUGAGACACGGUCCAAACUCCUACGGGAGGCAGCAGUGAGGAAUAUUGGUCAAUGGGCGAGAGCCUGAACCAGCCAAGUAGCGUGAAGGAUGACUGCCCUAUGGGUUGUAAACUUCUUUUAUAAAGGAAUAAAGUCGGGUAUGGAUACCCGUUUGCAUGUACUUUAUGAAUAAGGAUCGGCUAACUCCGUGCCAGCAGCCGCGGUAAUACGGAGGAUCCGAGCGUUAUCCGGAUUUAUUGGGUUUAAAGGGAGCGUAGAUGGAUGUUUAAGUCAGUUGUGAUAGUUUGCGGCUCAACCGUAAAAUUGCAGUUGAUACUGGAUAUCUUGAGUGCAGUUGAGGCAGGCGGAAUUCGUGGUGUAGCGGUGAAAUGCUUAGAUAUCACGAAAAACUCCGAUUGCGAAGGCAGCCUGCUAAGCUGCAACUGACAUUGAGGCUCGAAAGUGUGGGUAUCAAACAGGAUUAGAUACCCUGGUAGUCCACACGGUAAACGAUGAAUACUCGCUGUUUGCGAUAUACUGCAAGCGGCCAAGCGAAAGCGUUAAGUAUUCCACCUGGGGAGUACGCCGGCAACGGUGAAACUCAAAGGAAUUGACGGGGGCCCGCACAAGCGGAGGAACAUGUGGUUUAAUUCGAUGAUACGCGAGGAACCUUACCCGGGCUUAAAUUGCAGAUGAAUUACGGUGAAAGCCGUAAGCCGCAAGGCAUCUGUGAAGGUGCUGCAUGGUUGUCGUCAGCUCGUGCCGUGAGGUGUCGGCUUAAGUGUCAUAACGAGCGCAACCCUUGUUGUCAGUUACUAACAGGUUCCGCUGAGGACUCUGACAAGACUGCCAUCGUAAGAUGUGAGGAAGGUGGGGAUGACGUCAAAUCAGCACGGCCCUUACGUCCGGGGCUACACACGUGUUACAAUGGGGGGUACAGAGGGCCGCUACCACGCGAGUGGAUGCCAAUCCCCAAAACCUCUCUCAGUUCGGACUGGAGUCUGCAACCCGACUCCACGAAGCUGGAUUCGCUAGUAAUCGCGCAUCAGCCACGGCGCGGUGAAUACGUUCCCGGGCCUUGUACACACCGCCCGUCAAGCCAUGGGAGCCGGGGGUACCUGAAGUGCGUAACCGCGAGGAGCGCCCUAGGGUAAAACUGGUGACUGGGGCUA
rnacentral:rRNA from 1 species